AUUCAUAAACAAACUAUAAAGAUUCAUAAAAUUUACCAAACAUACCAAUAGAAUUCAUUAUAAAUCUAUUCAUAACAAAAUAUCUCGUAACAAUGACCACAAAAAUUCAUAAUAAACCCUUACGAUUGAUUCACAAACCAAUACGAUUCAUAAAAAUAAGUUUAACUGGUUAUUCAAGUUGUCAUAUUAACUAUUAAUUUAUUUAAAAGUCUCAAUUAAAUGUUUAUCAUCUAAUGACUAUUAGAUGGAGGCACCAUCCACCCUACAUAAGAGAGAUGUAAUAUAACUUUUUUCAAAACACACAUCGUAGUUUAUUAUGUUCAUUACAAGUUAGAAUCAAAUUAUACAUAGGUCAAGUUUAGUCUUAUGAAUAGUAUGAAAAAAAAUGUUUCUUAUAAAUUGAUUAAAUUUUUUUUAAAAAAAUUGAAAAAAAAUCGGGGGAGGGGGGCUGGCUGAGUAGGGGGCAAAAUAAUAAUUUUUGCUUGCAAUAAUAACUGUAGUUGGGAGACAAACUCUGACAGGGGAAGUUAGUGUAAUUUUUCUAACCACAUUUUAUGAUAAACCUCAUGCGAGGUCAGUGAUAUUUACCCUAUUAUAUUCUAUUGUAUGCAUUUAAGUCAGAACUUUUAAAUUCGAUAAAUUUUUGAAAACCCAUUCAUAACCUCAAUUCCAUUGCAAACUAUAUGGGAAAAGAGUUCCUUGAAAUGUGUUGUUGAAUGGAAGAGAACAGAUGCAAUGCUCGAGGAAUUGAAAGAGAGCUUCUAUGGAAGACUUCAAAGUCCAAAAGAAAGGCUGACAAAGUUAACAAAAUCCUCUUUUUCCAACUGUAAACAAGUCUAAAAAUCUUGGAUUUAUCUCCUCUUGCAUUGAAUUCUGCUCCAAAAACACUUCUCUCUCUCUAAGUUUCACGAGUGAGAGACAGAGCCAGUUUGAAAUAUUGUUAACAGACCAUUUAAGUCUUGUUCCUUUGAACACAAGCAUUCCUGUUCCUUUCACAGAAGUGCAUUCACCCAAUGGACUUGGAUUUCCAACGUGACCAGAUUUUUUUUACCAUUUUGCAUCAUCUCUUAGUUAGAUGGUCGUGAUUGAUUUCAUAUUUAGAAAUGAUUACAUGGAUAUAGAAUUAAGGCGAAACAAAUCAUGUCAUGUAUGCGGUGAAAUAUCGAUAAGAAUAAGUGAUAUGUAGCCGUUUUCAAUUAUUUUUCAUUCCAAAUUUUACAAUGUCGAUAAGAAUAAGUGAUAUGCAGCGGUUUUCAAUUAUUUUUCAUUCCGAAUUUUACUUGUUACCUGUUUUAUAUCACUGCUUCCUUAAAUACUCGUGAAAUACUACUAAUUUGGUAAUAAUCGUGGGAAGGAAAAAAUGACGGAGAGGCCAUGCACAAAGUGAUAUGAAACCACGGCAAAAAAAAAAAAGUUGAUAUAGACCCCUUCACUUAAAUUUUUGACCAUUUUUAAUGAAAUAAUGAUACACGGUCGAAACUUUGUAUAGAAUUUUCAUACAUAGGCUCCGUUUGGCACCAAUUUUUUUCAGUUUUUUUUUAUUUUUUUUGUUUAAAAUAAGCAAAAAAAAUCAAUCAGAUUUAACUUUUUUGCUUUUCUGUUUUUGUUUUUUUGCUUAGUUUUAGUUAAAGUAAAGCCACAAAAGCAAAAAAAUUAAAAAAUCUUGACCUUUUUAGUAGCAAAUUUAAAAAAAAGUUUAGUUUUUAAGCA
rnacentral:lncRNA from 1 species